rnacentral:lncRNA from 10 species
CAAAACAACCUGAACGUCCUCCACGGGUCAGUGGAUGAACCAAUUAUGAUACACCCAUGCAACUAGUGCUCCCCAGCAUUGAAAGGAUGAAUUGUUGGAUGAAUCUCAAAAUAAUUACACUGUGAGACAAUGUCAGGCAAUAAGAGUAUACACGCUGUGUUACCCAGGACAGAAAUGAAUUAAUCUACAGUGACAGAAAGGUGCCGUCUGAGGGGCGCUCAUCCCCACCAGCCCGAGGGCCUCCCCGCCAAGGGA